rnacentral:lncRNA from 1 species
CUGCAUCAUCCUUACAUCACAUUCAUCAUCUCAAAGCAAAGAUUAAUCGAUUCAUUAAAAUCAGUAUUCUCAAGUUAUCAUAAAAAAAAUCAGUUUAACUAUUCGAGCAAAACAAAUCAGCGUAAAUAAAUCAAGAUUUAUAAAUCGGUACCACUACCACCUUCCCGGAGAAUCUAGACCAGAAUUCACGGUUCUGGCGAGAUCAGAAUGGGUUCCGGUAAAAUCAAACUCAGAUCAUCCUCGUCUGUAUUUCCCCCUAACACCAUCGUAUGCAGAACGAAUCAACAACAGAUACUUAUUCAUUCCCAUCCUAAUACUCAUUUUCACAUACCUGGUUUGGUAAUCUCCUGACACAAAAUCCACACCACGGCGUUGGAUUUCCUCGACCAAACCCUCCUUCCGAUAUUCCCCCUCUUUGUUUCGUUCUUAA